CAAUCUCAGCGUUUAAUAGUUUAGCAGGCCCUCCAGAAUUUUCUGGUCAGGCAUAAAAAACAGUACCUUCUGAUGAGAAAGAUUUCACAAAGGUUACUCAAAUUUCUUUGUUAUUUCUGCAGUUCAUUUUAAUAGAACUGUAUGUGUUUUUGUUUGUUUGUUUGUUUCUGUUUUUGAGACAGAGUGUCUCGCUCUGUGGCCCAGGCUGGAGUGCAGUGGCGCAAUCUCAGCUCACUGCAAGCUCUGCCUCCUGGGUUCACAGCAUUCUCCUGCCUCAGCCUCCCGAGUAGCUGGGACUACAGGCGCCCAUCACCACGCCCGGCCAAUUUUUUUUUUUUUUUUUUUAGUUAGAGAGAUGGGGUUUUACCGUGUUUGCCAGGAUGGUCUCGAUCUACUGACCUCGUGAUCUGCCCGCUUCGGCCUUCCAAAGUGCUGGGAUAACAGGCAUGAGCCACCGCGCCUGGCCAAAUUGUUUGUGUUUUGGAGUUAAAUUAACAGAUACAACUAAGGUUUGCAGAGAUGAGGUGAUAUUCUCCUACACUUUAUCGUGCAGUUUUGUAAGGCACUUUGCCCUGAGACGUCUGGCUGAUCCAAGAAAAGACACUGAUUUUCUGAUUCUUCAGUUUUUCCCCUUGUUUUAAAGAUGGCACCAGUAACUUUCAUUCUGCUUAUGUAUCAGAGAGCUGCUCAUGGGAAUGUGAUAGAGAGGAAGAGAAGCUGGGGACACCCCUCUCUAAGCCGUAAAUGGAGGGCAAGCAUCAAAGUGGGCCACUACAUAGCGUCUCUGAUGGGAGUUACAAAUUGGUGAGUAGGGGCUAGGACUUUUUGUGCAUAUGUAUAUCAUGUAUGACUCUGUGGCAGUCACUGUGCCACUGAGUAAAUUAUUCCUGUCAUUUACUGUUAUCACCACAGUAUACACAAUAUCCUUAUAAAUUAUAUACUUUUUUUUCUUCCAUUUGGCAGAAGGUGAAAUUGAGGCAUAAGAGGUUAAAUAACUGGCCAAAAUGCUUGGAGCUGUAGUUCAAACCAAAUGUGCCUGACAUAAU
rnacentral:lncRNA from 1 species